CCUACGGGAGGCAGCAGUGGGGAAUAUUGCACAAUGGGGGAAACCCUGAUGCAGCGACGCCGCGUGAGUGAAGAAGUAUUUCGGUAUGUAAAGCUCUAUCAGCAGGGAAGAAAAUGACGGUAUCUGACUCAGAAGCCCCGGCUAACUACGUGUCAGCAGCCGCGGUAAUACGUAGGGGGCAAGCGUUAUCCGGAUUUACUGGGUGUAAAGGGAGCGUAGACGGCAGCGCAAGUCUGAAGUGAAAUCCCAUGGCUUAACCAUGGAACUGCUUUGGAAACUGUGCAGCUUGAGUGCAGGAGAGGUAAGCGGAAUUCCUAGUGUAGCGGUGAAAUGCGUAGAUAUUAGGAAGAACACCAGUGGCGAAGGCGGCUUACUGGACUGUAACUGACGUUGAGGCUCGAAAGCGUGGGGAGCAAACAGGAUUAGAUACCCGGGUAGUC
rnacentral:rRNA from 1 species